CCAGACUCCUACGGGAGGCAGCAGUGGGGAAUAUUGCACAAUGGGGGAAACCCUGAUGCAGCGACGCCGCGUGGGUGAAGAAGUAUUUCGGUAUGUAAAGCCCUAUCAGCAGGGAAGAAAGAAGACGGUACCUGACUAAGAAGCCCCGGCUAACUACGUGCCAGCAGCCGCGGUAAUACGUAGGGGGCGAGCGUUAUCCGGAUUCACUGGGUGUAAAGGGAGCGUAGACGGCCGUGCAAGCCAGGAGUGAAAGGCGGGGGCCCAACCCCCGGACUGCUCUGGAAACUGUAUGGCUGGAGUGCAGGAGAGGUAAGCGGAAUUCCUAGUGUAGCGGUGAAAUGCGUAGAUAUUAGGAGGAACACCAGUGGCGAAGGCGGCUUACUGGACUGUAACUGACGUUGAGGCUCGAAAGCGUGGGGAGCAAACAGGAUUAGAUACCCGGGUAG
rnacentral:rRNA from 1 species